GGAUGCGAGGGUGAUCUGGCUGCCAUAUCUGUAACCCCAUUGAUUGCCAGGGUUGGUUCGGCUGAUCUGGCUGGCUAAAAGGGUGUCCCCUUCCUCCUUCAAGGCUCCAUAUGUGUCCCUCCCAAAGCUGCACACUCAGUUGAUGAGGCAAUGAUCCCCAAUAGAGGAGGAUCGUUCUUUGGUCAAGGGUAUAUGAAUAGACGUGCUCCCCUGCUAGAACCUCCAAACAAGCUCUCACCUGUCAGAAUACUGUGGCAUCCACAGAGCCUCUUAUCCAAGAUCUUCUUUCAGGUAUAUAGGUAAGGAGGGAACUU
rnacentral:snRNA from 1 species